UUGUUCAGGCUGCUCUUACAAAGGCUGGAGUGUGGGGCAACAUAGCUGAAGAGAUUUAAGUCCAAAAAUAAACCUGACCAAGUUGGUAACGAUGACAAUUUAGUCAUUACUACUAAAUAACAUUUCCCAAAGGACACAAAGGUACCCAAAGUUUUACACUUUUAAUAUGAAAAGUUUACCCUGAGUAGAAUGUCACUCUGAGUAGACGGUAGCCUGAUGAUUAUAUAUAUAUAUAUACCUCCAAUCACAGAGCCAAGAUUUUACAUAAUUCAGGACACGAUCUUCCUUUUGGUGCUGACUCACCUAUUUGCUCUCCUUCCUAUCUAGUCUACUGUAUGGCAAAAUUGUUCCCAGUUUUACAUCUUGCGAUCCACUCAGCAGAAUGCUCCAUCAGGCAGUUAACUGUCUGAACUGCCUGCUCAGUAAUACGUUGUAGCAAAAGGCAAUUUUAUACCUGGAUCAAGAUUUGGCAGACCACCAGGAAGAUUUAAAGAUUUAAAGUUCACAGAAAUGACACAGCAAAUGGUUGGAAACCACUGGUUCCACCUCUCUGGCCAAUGUCAUCUCUGACCCCAGAAGAGAAUGGAGCACAGAGAGGCCCAUUCCCCACGGCACUGCACACCCUCACAAGUCUCUGCAGGGUGUGUGUGUGUGUGAAGAUAAACUGUUUUACUGAAGAGGAAACUGUUCUUUGAGAGGUUAAGCCACUGGUUGCAUUUGAUGGGAGGAGAAUAAGGAGGAGCUCUUCUAUUUCUAUGUCCCUGUUUCUGCCUGCCUCCCUCAGUAACUCGUGUGCUAAACCUCCACUGGUCAUGUAUAGUGUCUAAUCCCAACUGGAUUCCUACAAGGGAGGGAGAACUGCCUACCGGAGUCAUCUGAAGCCUACCACCCAACAGCUGAGAAGAGGAAACAACUAUUAUUGUCUCUCCAAUCUGUUUCAUAUAGCAAGCUACAAAAGUUGUACUGCCUUUCGAAUUCGAGCCCAUUUCCUCAGGACAGAUAAAAAUCAUGGUGAAUUAAACAUCUACCACCUGGAAAUACUCCAGAUUCUUGAUGCUCUGACUUUCCCCCUAUUGCCUGUCAAUUGCUCAUCAGGAUUAGAGACCAACUGCUCUAGAAGCCACCAACUCUAUCUGUAGCUGCUGUGACAUUUUUACACAAGGAAAGAUGUAUGCUGCCCAUCUGUCAUGUAAGGACAUAAUGUAGCUAAACCAUCUACCCUGUCUCAUACCACAUGGGGAGUGAUGAAGACACAAAGGGCCGGGUUCGGUUUCUCCUCGGGGAAUUGGUGGCCAGAGUUACUAACUUGUAUGCUGCACUCUCAAGAAAAUGGCCAUCAGAACUCAACCCAAAAGGAGAAAAUAAUCCAUUUAACAUUCCUGCUUCAUGGGAAGACAUCUGCCCACUUCCACAGUGUCUGGAGGAGCUCCUAGUUCUUCGCUAUUCCCCAUCAGUAUGUGACGGAACCAACUUUAAAACUGCACCAAAGCAGUGAGGAAAAAGGCUGGGUCGAACAUUUUGGGUUUCUCUAUCUGCUAUACUAGACACUUUUAUACAGGUUUAAGUUUGUGAACUGAAAAAAACAGAGAAUUUGUAUUCUGGAAGGUUGUUCUCUGGCAAAUGUGAAACCCCAGCUCCCAUGUGUAGGGAUUUUAGGGAGAAAAUCCCUAAAGAGAAUGAUAUAGGGGGCUCCCCUCAAAAUGCAGAGCUAAAUGAGCCUAUUCAGGAUGAUGGCUGCCACUGACAGGCUCUCCUUCAUGUCCUGUGCCUCAGAGCAGCUCACAGUGGUCCACUGUGACUGUAAGAGGACAGAUAAGGAGCACAAGACAUCAGAAGACUGUAAGGUAAAAGAGAGAGGUCAAAACUAUGGGAGAAAAGCAAUGUGUAGGAAACAGAGACAACGCACAGAUCUGAAAACCUGAAAAAAUACCUAGUAUCUUUAGAGAAAUAAAAGAAGAUAUUGUAUUUAUGAAACAAGAAUAACAUGGUAUAAAAAAGAAAAAUAUCAAAAAACAAAAAAGUUUCCUGGAAAUAAAAAAA